GUCUCGGUAAUAACUAUAAUGAAACUGGGUAGAUAAAAAAGGUGACUUGUAAGUUUCUAUGUACUUUUGUAUUUCUUGGUGCAUACAAGAUGAUACUACACAGGAUUUUAUUUUUACCUUCUUAAAACCAAUAUCAGCAGCAUAUUCUCUGAAACAUUGUCUGCAAAUGUUCAGACCAUAUUUACGGAUAAGUCCAUGUUUAUUUGCACAAGCACGGCUGUAAACAAAAUUAAAAGAAAUAUUUUAAA
rnacentral:lncRNA from 1 species